UACGGAGGAUCCAAGCGUUAUCCGGAUUUAUUGGGUUUAAAGGGUGCGCGGGCGGAAGAUUAAGUCGGCGGUGAAAUUUUGCAGCUCAACUGUAAAAGUGCCAUCGAUACUGGUUUUCUUGAGUGUGGAUGAAGUAGGCGGAAUUUGUGGUGUAGCGGUGAAAUGCAUAGAUAUCACGAGGAACUCCGAUUGCGCAGGCAGCUUACUAGGCCAUAACUGACGCUCAGGCACGAAGGCGUGGGGAUCAAACAGGAUUAGAUACCCCGGUA
rnacentral:rRNA from 1 species